UGGGGAAUAUUGGACAAUGGGGGCAACCCUGAUCCAGCGAUGCCGCGUGUGUGAAGAAGGCCUGCGGGUUGUAAAGCACUUUAGUUGGGGAGGAAAGGUAUGUACUGCAUAAGUGCAUGCUGUGACGUUACCCAAAGAAUAAGCACCGGCAAACUCUGUGCCAGCAGCCGCGGUAAUACAGAGGGUGCAAGCGUUAAUCGGAAUUACUGGGCGUAAAGCGCGCGUAGGUGGUUAGUUAAGUUGGAUGUGAAAUCCCCGGGCUCAACCUGGGAACUGCAUUCAAAACUGACUGACUAGAGUAUGGUAGAGGGUGGUGGAAUUUCCUGUGUAGCGGUGAAAUGCGUAGAUAUAGGAAGGAACACCAGUGGCGAAGGCGACCACCUGGACUGAUACUGACACUGAGGUGCGAAAGCGUGGGGAGCAAACAGGAUUAGAUACCCCCGUAGUCCCUGAGCGGGCUGGCAAGGCGCAU
rnacentral:rRNA from 1 species